CACGUGUAGCAGUGAAAUGCGUAGAUAUGUGCAGUAACACCGAUGGCGAAGGCAGCCCCCUGGGUCAAAACUGACGCUCAUGCACGAAAGCGUGGGGAGCAAACGGGAUUAGAUACCCUGGUAGUCCACGUCCUAAACGAUGUCUACUAGUUGUCGGGUCUUAAUUGACUUGGUAACGCAGCUAACGCGUGAAGUAGACCGCCUGGGGAGUACGGUCGCAAGAUUAAAACUCAAAGGAAUUGACGGGGACCCGCACAAGCGGUGGAUGAUGUGGAUUAAUUCGAUGCAACGCGAAAAACCUUACCUACCCUUGACAUGGCAGGAAUCCUGAAGAGAUUUGGGAGUGCUCGAAAGAGAACCAUCACACAGGUGCUGCAUGGCUGUCGUCAGCUCGUGUCGUGAGAUGUUGGGUUAAGUCCCGCAACGAGCGCAACCCUUGUCAUUAGUUGCUACGAAAGGGCACUCUAAUGAGACUGCCGGUGACAAACCGGAGGAAGGUGGGGAUGACGUCAAGUCCUCAUGGCCCUUAUGGGUAGGGCUUCACACGUCAUACAAUGGUACAUACAGAGGGCCGCCAACCCGCGAGGGGGAGCUAAUCCCAGAAAGUGUAUCGUAGUCCGGAUUGGAGUCUGCAACUCGACUCCAUGAAGUUGGAAUCGCUAGUAAUCGCGGAUCAGCAUGUCGCGGUGAAUACGUUCCCGGGUCUUGUACACACCGCCCGUCACACCAUGGGAGCGGGUUUUACCAGAAGUGGGUAGCCUAACCGCAAGGAGGGCGCUCACCACGGUAGGAUUCGUGACUGGGGUG
rnacentral:rRNA from 1 species